GUGGAUGCGGGGGCGGUGGCGCGCGACUGGGCCGCGGGAGCUGCGGGUGGGAGGAGGAAGGGGAGCACCUCCGAGGGGGCCGCCAGAGAGUACGGGGCGGGGAGGGCGGCGAAGAAGAAGGCGCCGCCGCGGCCGGAGGCCCGGACCGAGUUCCGCGGCGUGUCCCGGACACUUGCCGGCAACUACGGGGCGCGGAUCGAGCAUUCCAAGGGGCAGAAGCGGUGGCUCGGCACCUUCGACACCGCCGAGGAGGCCGCCAGGGCGUACGACGAGGCGGCCGUCAGGCUGCACGGCGCGCGGGCCGUGACGAACUACGAGCAAGACGGCGUCCCCGAGUCGGCCGGCCGGGCGGCGGCAAAGAAGAAGAAGAAGCCGGCGGCGCCCAGGCCUGACGCCCGGACCGAGUUCGUCGGCGUGUCCCGGCAGCCGAACGGCAAGUACGUCGCGGGCCUAUGGGACUCGGGGAGGCAUAAGGUGGUGACGGUCGGGAGGUUCGACACGGCCGAGGAGGCCGCCGGAGCGUACGAUGCCGCGGCCGUCGGGAUGUACGGCGCCGCGGCCAGGACCAACUUCGAGCAAAAACCCACGGCGGCCGCGGCCAAGACCAACUUCGAGCAACAACCCACGGCGGCCGCUACUGAUGACGGGGACGAGUCGUCCGUGGACCUCCUCAGCGACUUCCCGGAGCCGCCCCCCUGCGACGUCCGCUCGGACAGCAUCAUCCCAUUCCCAGGCCCGGCGCUCGACGAUCUCCGGACUGACGCUGACCUGACGCCGGCUGAGCGGCAGCAGGUGGACGAGUUCCUCAUCGACAUGGACUUCGCCGAUGUGGUGGAUUAG
rnacentral:rRNA from 1 species